GCACUGACAAAGUUGCAUAACAGAUUAAUAAUGCAUAAAAAGAGCAAACUGACGAAGGCAUUAUUUUUAAAUAAAAAUUAGCAAUAGACACAUUAUUUAACAAAAGAAUAAAAGCGAGAUACUAUUUAGAAGACAAAAAGUGCAACACAGUACUUUAAUACAUUGAGGUCCAAAAAUAAAAGAAACAUUUUACACAAGUCAAAUUUGUCACCAUUUAAAAUAAAACUGCAACUUUGUUAUUGUGACGAGACCAAUCUCGCCACAUUGCAUUGGAGAAGCCUGGUUGCUCGCCUGUUGCCUUUGGAUUAUGGCCCCAUGUUAAAAGGCUUGAUUUUACCCUGCAAAGACAUGAAAGCCGGGUCAUUUGGUGCUUGCCCUGUUUGAACGGUGAUACUCCAGAUAGCUAUGCCAUGGAGCCCAUUUGUAUAAUGAAAGACUAUGGGAAAGACUUUGGCUCCAUGGCAAUUGAACUGUAUGUGUGUGAUCUGAGCGCCAUUCAGUAAUAAUGUGCGCUCAGAUCUGAGCUAUCUGGGGAUAUGUUGAAUGUACCUGUUUUGUGCAAUGGCUGCACAGUUAUAUGUUUUUAUGUGUUUUAUUGUCUUUUGCUGCCAUGUGUUCAAUGGAGUUUUGCCUCUGUCCUAGGAAAUAAUUGGAUUACUUCCCAAUUAUCUCCAGGAUAGAAGACUCUGUGGAACUGGUUUUGGGCAGAAAAGCCACGCUUCCUUUGGUCACAAAGGAGUACGAUCUAUCUUUUGAACCACUGGACUAAUUUGUAUUAUUUUGACGUAUGUUUGUAUUUGGAGUAUGCUGAUUCUGAAAAUGUAAGUUUCUCACAAUGUAAGAAUGUGAUGCAUACUUUUCAAGUUAUGAAUAAUGUGGAAAAAUUUUAUUUCUCUGCUUGUUAUAAUUACAUUACCCAUUGUGUAAGGUAAUUGAAUCACAUGCAGAGGGGAGGAUUUUGUGUGGGAGUGUCUGAGUGUAUUGUAUGUGUUUAUUGGUUGUGUUCCAAAACCCUGUGGGUGGUACUAAUGUGUAAGAAUGUGUAAAUAAAACAAUAAACCCACAGCUCUGUCUGUUCACUGCUUGACCCUCAACACGGAGCUUUGUCUCGUUUUUGGGGGGAUUUAUUGUAUGCUGUUCCAGUUCGACUGUUAGGAGUGUAAACCUAUUCGUAUGGUUUUUCCUAUUCGGCUGUUUACGGCAUUCAUAUGGUUUCCUGUUUGGCGGAUUGGUGUUCUGCAGUAGCUGUGCCUGUGUCUCUGGAAGGGAAGAUCUACUAAACGGUGGUUUAACCCUUUUAUGCUGAGGGUGCCGUUACAGUUAUGCUUACUUAUUUCUUAUAUUUACCAAAUAUGUGUUUGCGUUGUAUGAAAAAUACCAUUAAAUAUUAAAAUGUACACCUCUACAUCAAGCUACUGCCUGUGUCCAUCUUGUUUCCCUGAAGUCAUUAUAUAAAUUCUCUCAUUUACACCUGUCAUUCAGCAUGGGAAAAGAGAAGAAAUUAAAUGAUUCUGAAACUCCUUCUCAUUUGCAAAGCGUGCUCCGGCUGUGCCUGGCUGUAAUAUAUUGUGAAGUAACUUCAAAAUAUUUAAAAUAAAUAUUCACGUGAACAAUGGGAAAAUGGUUAAUACAAGCUAUCAGUUAUUUUCUAUGUUUUAUUCAAUGGUGUAAUUUCCACAGAAGUGAAGGUUCCCAUUUAUUAUUGGCACGGGUUAUAAACACAAGAUCAUUACAGACAAUUCAUUGCAUAAUUUUUUUUUAUCAAUAUAAUAGUUUUCUCUGGUCUUAUUUAAAUCUUUUAGUUCCCUUCACUAGUAGUCUACAGUGGGAUAAUAUAACUUUUAUAAAGCAAAACAAUAUAUAUUCAGAUUAUUAUUCAGAUAGAUAGAUAGAUAUAAAGAUAGUGAGAGAGAGAGAGAGAGAGAGAGAGAGAUAGUAUCACCCUCCAUGUUUCUCUACAAUUCAUUUCCUGUCUCAAAUCAAUGUUCACAUUUAGCAACAAUUUCAAAUAUUAAACAAUGUAAUAUAUCUGGUAGCCACAGGCUCUUGUAAAUAAAACAACAUGAAAUAUAUUCUGUUUCAACUAUGUAUGCUUUGUACAUCAAAUUAUAAAUAGUUUGCAAUGCUCCAAGCAAAGGCAUCUUACUGGUUGAAAACCCGCACCAACAAUUAGUUUAAUGCAAAAAAAAAGUGUGUGAGUAAAAAAGAUCUACAGUUGGGAUCUACCCUAUGACAUUUUUUUGGGAACGAGGGGCAGAGUACCUUUUAACACUAUAUAAUAAAGCACUAAUAUGGCAUGGGGACAAACAUACAAGACAUGGGAGCUCCAUAGUCCUAUAGUAUAUAUUGGGACAGGACCAAAGGCGCAGUACUUUGAUCUACAUUUCCAUUGGCAUCAUUUUGAUCUUUCGUUAGUAGAAGGUAACAGAUGUUUGGUUUUGGGAUGUGCAUGGGCAAAAAAAUUGGUUCAGUUCGGCACUUCCAAAAUCCGGGACUUAGGCAAUUCGUCACGUCGUCACUUUGGUUCGGCACUUCUGAAAUUUGGGACUUUGGCAAUUUGGCACUUCGGUUUGGUUCAGCACCUCCGAAAUUUGGGACUUUGGCAAUUCGGCACUUCGGGAAUUCUGGACUUUGGCAAUUCCCUAACCCUAAACCUAACCCAACCCUACCCCUAACCCUACCACUACCCCUAGCCAUAACCCUAUACCUACUCCUACCCCUAACCAUGAGCCUAACCCUUACCCCAACCUUCCUCUAACCCUAAGCCUACCCUUAAUCCUAACCCUGGCCAUUGGAGCAACUAAAUGACCUCCAUUUGUCUAAAUAUACAUAGAGAUUAAGGAGAGAGCACAGGUAACUUUUUAUUUUCUUUGGUUUUACUAUAUAUUGGGGCUGAUGUGUACUGUAGUCAUUGCUGCUGGCCCAGUAGUGAUGGGAGUGAGCGCAGGACUUCUCUUUUUGUAUUUGUAUUUACUUUGCAUCACACAGCCUUGUUACAAUGCUGCCGCCAAUUAAGGGUUAAUAAGUAUAUAGGGGUGUAUAUAAAAAAUACCCCUCUCUGUCUCAUUAGAGAUAUCUUUGCCAGAAGCUCAAGGAACCAGGCUGAAGGGUCAAUGUUAGGACCCGCUUAGGGGGGUCUGCCUUGACGUUGGCAGAGGGGCAUUCCGUCUAAUGACCAUUGGAGCAACUAAAUGACCUCCAUUUGUCUAAAUAUACAUAGGGAUUAAGGAGAGAGCACAGGUAACUUUUUAUUUUCUUUGGUUUUUGCAAUAAAACAAGUACCUGUAGAAAUAAAAGAAAAUGUACUUACCAUCAGUUUUUUUUCUCUUCUCUUUUCAGCUCCAAAAAAAGGUAAUAAUUCCCAAAGUAACUAACGAGGAAUAAAAAACAGAAUUGCAAAAAAUAUGCCAUCUCUUAUUUCGAAACUUGGCUGUCAGAGUCAACCAAUCCAAAUGCUUUUUUUUUUUAAGCCUCAUAGUUACACAGGCUGAAAAGAGACGUGUCCAUCAAGUUCAGCCUUUCUCACAUCUGUUUUUUGCUGUUGAUCCAAAAGAAGGCAAAAAAAAAAAACAACAAAAAACACUUUGAAGCACUUCCAAUUUUCAACAAACUAGGAAAACAAUUCCUUCUUGACCCCAGAAUGGCAGUCAGAUUUAUCCUUGGAUCAAGAAGCUAUUACCCAACAGUUGAAAAAUUAAAUCAUUGAAUAGUAUGUUUUUGCAAGUGUGCAUCUAGUUACAGUUUAAACAUCUGUACAGACUCUGAUAAAACCACUUCUUUAGGCAGAGAAUUCCACAUCCUUUUUAUUCUCACGGUAAAAACACUUUUCCGUUGCCUUAGAGUAAAUCUUUUUUCUUCCACUCUAAACGCAUGACCUUGUGUCCUAUGAAUAAUCCUGUUUGUGAAAACUUUUACUGAUAUUGCAUAGCGUGGGGAAUUUUCCCGCACAGCGUAAUAGGUAUCAUAGAAUGGAAAGUCUUUAAAGGGCAAAGAUGGAUUAAUU